UACCAGUGCUAUAACUACUAACAAAACCUGGUGGUAACUCUACGGAUUUACAACGCUGAAAUCAGGGGUUCGAAAGCCCUCGGUGGACACAGUAGACAGCCCACUGUGGCUUUGGUACAAAGAACACAGGCACAUACAGACUUCUAUACUCAAAGUUAGACGUCACGUGACAAAGUGCACAGUUUUAGCGUUUUGUUGAUCAGACAUUGACAUACUCUGUUGGUACUGUCUUCAGUUCAGAGAUGAAUUUCUCCCACCUGCAGUAUUGAGCCCUUAAUCUACACGAAUAUUGCUUCUGUAUGCAUGGCCAUAUACAGAAGCAAGUUUAUACCAUGGAUACAAACAAUGCAACUAACAACUAUAAUCAGAACGCUCGAGAAAAGCUGUGUCAGACUUUGUCAGUGGUAGCGUUCUUCCUCAUGUAGGAGACUCGCGUCUUAGGC
rnacentral:lncRNA from 1 species